rnacentral:rRNA from 1 species
AUGACUAGGGAUAACCUUAGGAAGAGACACAUCAUCAAACCCCUUUGUGUUUACUGCUUGGAACAAGAGUCUUGUUCACACCUAUUUUUUGAAUGUAUAGUUGCUAAACAUCUCUAGGACCACAUUGAGGAAUAUUUCUCUAGUCAGAUUGGCUCAUCCUUUGAAUCUGUCGCCAGAUUCUGGAUUGCUACCAAAAAGUGCUUAGUUUUAAACACUGUUAGCUCAGCUGUCCUUUGGUGCCUCUAGAAAUAUAGAAAUUCUAUGAUUUUCAGUAACACCUCCUGGAUUUCCAUUUCGCAGGUCUUGAGGUUGAUCAGGAACAUGGUGAGGAACUGGGCGAUUCUCUCCUCCGGAUCGGACAAGGACGAGUUGAUGAGCUUCGGGGAAACCCUAACAAGAUCCCUCCAGAAACCGUUGGCAGUCACUUGUGGCUGA